rnacentral:tRNA from 1 species
UUAAUUGAAACCAAAAUAGAGGUACAUCACUGUUAAUGAUAUUAAUGGGAAAUCACCCCAAUUAAA